GCUCUCUCCUUCAGUCAAAGACAUUUCAGAGCCGCUCCUCUCAUUUUUCUCUUCCUCUGAUUUCGAUUCUUUCUACAGCUGCUCCUUUCCUCCUUCUGUGACAAUGACACAGCACCAACAACCACAUCUCCUCUCCUCUCAAGCUCUCCUCCUUCUGUGACGACGUAGACGAGACAGGGUCGGCGGCGUCAUAUUCUUUCCUCAAUUCCUCUCUCAUAUCAGUUUAAGGUAAGCAUCCUCUUCCUUUGAAUUUAGGGUUUUUUUCUUUUAAAUUAGGCUUGUUGACUUAGGGCUUCGAAAUUGAAUUGGGGGUUGAGGUAGAUUAUUUUUUCUAUUAAAUUAAGGCUGUCAAGGUGGUUUAGACACUGAUGGAUUGAUAGUUUAUGAUUUUUUGGAUAUUUGGUGGGUCUAAUUUAUUUGAUUUGUUAAUAUUUGAAUAUUGAUAAGUUUGGAGCUCAUUUAUUGGAAUGUAUUGGUCUUCAAAGCUUUUUUUUCACCUGUGCUUUAACUACCCUGACAAGUUAAUUACAGUGUUUGGUCUUUCCUCAUUUAUUGGAAUGUAUUGCUCUUAAUUUUCUUUUAUAUCUAUAUAUUGGGUUCAGUUCCUUAGUGUGUUUGGCUCCUCUCCCUCCGUAGUAGCAGAAGUUUUUAAGCUGAGAAGCUUUUGUUUUGUAUCAUCCUACCGUGGUGUCUUACUUGUGCAUCCUUCGUCUAUAGACAGUGCAUAAACAUUGUUGGAGCAGUGAUCAAUAACUACAACUUUAAGGCUAUAUUUGCAUUACAUGAAAUCAGUGAAUGCUCAGCUAACUUAAGACACAUAUAAGAAGAAGAACUAUUGUUGGCUAGUGACAGACAUUCAAUCCAAGCAUAUAAAUAUGAAAAAGCAGGAACCGAAGGGAGAGAGAUGAUGACUUCUUAUGACGGAACAUCAAUCAGGAAUCAGGAUAGAUAAAAAGUAAAGAGAUGUCUACUAUUCAACCGAUUAUCUUCAGAGUCAAUCAAUCCAUAUUGGGACGACAGUCGGGUCAAGCAUCCCAUAUUGUUUUGUCUUGUGCAGGGAAUUUUGUUUCCUCUGGCCUCAAAGCAAAGACUAGGUAAUUUGGAUUUGAAAUGUGUGUAAUUUGAUUUCUGUUCUUAGGUAAAUAUUCUUGUUUUAAGUGUUGUUUCUGUUGCAUUUAAUUUUGUUUAUGUAACUGAAAGCUCAACAACUGAUAUAAACUUUUAAUCAUGGUCAUAGUAGAAAAAAUAUAGUGGAGGUUGUUGUGGUCUCUGAGAUAGUUGCAGGCCUUUACAAAGGGUUGAUCUAGAAAAGAGACGUGCAGAGAAGGAACGGGCAGAAAAGGGGCACGUGCCUUCUGGUUAUUUUCUUCCUCUUACUUUCAAAGUUUUAGUAGGUAGUUUCUUUCCUUUUUAUGAAUGAUUUUCUUAAUGCCUUGUCUUUGCAAUAUGUGACAUUUGACUUUA